UACGUAGGGUGCGAGCGUUAAUCGGAAUUACUGGGCGUAAAGCGUGCGCAGGCGGUGAUGUAAGACAGUUGUGAAAUCCCCGGGCUCAACCUGGGAAUUGCGAUGGAGACUGCAAGGCUAGAAUCUGGCAGAGGGGGGUAGAAUUCCACGUGUAGCAGUGAAAUGCGUAGAGAUGUGGAGGAACACCGAUGGCGAAGGCAGCCCCCUGGGUCAAGAUUGACGCUCAUGCACGAAAGCGUGGGGAGCAAACAGG
rnacentral:rRNA from 1 species